AAACAAGCUUUUAAGAGCAGAUGGCGGAUGCCUUGCCAAAGAGAGGCGAUGAAGGACGUACUAGACUGCGAUAAGCUAUGCGGAGCUGUCAAGGAGCUUUGAUGCGUAGAUGUCCGAAUGGGGCAACCCAACUAAUAGAGAUAUUAGUUACUCUAAUUAUAGAGGGCGAACCUAGUGAAGUGAAACAUCUCAGUAACUAGAGGAAAAGAAAUCAACGAGAUUCCCUAAGUAGUGGCGAGCGAACGGGGAAAAGGGCAAACCGAGUGCUUGCAUUCGGGGUUGAGGACUGCAACAUCCAAGAGAACGCUUUAGCAGAGUUACCUGGAAAGGUAAGCCAUAGAAAGUGAUAGCCUUGUAUGCGACAAGGCGUUCUUAGGUAGCAGUAUCCAGAGUAGGCCAGGACACGAGAAAUCCAGGUUGAAGCCGGGGAGACCACUCUCCAACCCUAAAUACUACUCUUUGAGCGAUAGCGAACAAGUACCGUGAGGGAAAGGUGAAAAGAACCGCAGUGAGCGGAGUGAAAUAGAACCUGAAACCAUCUGCUUACAAUCAUUCAGAGCCCUAUGAUUUAUCAGGGUGAUGGACUGCCUUUUGCAUAAUGAUCCUGCGAGUUGUGGUAUCUGGCAAGGUUAAGCGAAUGCGAAGCCGUAGCGAAAGCGAGUCUUAAUAGGGUGCUUGAGUCAGAUGCUGCAGACCCGAAGCUAAGUGAUCUAUCCAUGGCCAAGUUGAAACGCGUGUAAUAGCGCGUGGAGGACUGAACUCGUACCCAUUGAAACGGGUUGGGAUGAGCUGUGGAUAGGGGUGAAAGGCCAAACAAACUUAGUGAUAGCUGGUUCUCUUCGAAAAGCGCAAUUCAUCUAGCAAUAAAAAUUGAUUUUGGUAAUACGCAUAAAAAAAUUUCCAACCAUUGUGGUUGGUUUUAUUUAAAUAUUUAGCGCUCAUUUUAUGAAUAGAGGUUUCAUAAUUUUCAUUAUCCCUCACUUGUCCGUUUUCUAAAACUUGACAAAUUUUUUCUUUGUUAGAUGAGUAUAAAAAAUCCCCGAUUUUGAGUAAUUGUUUAGAAAUUAAAAGACUCAUAGGGAUUUUUGGGGGUUUAGUUUCUAAUUCUAAAUUAGUGAUAAAAUCGCUUUUAUCCCUAGUGCUAUUCAGGCGUUUUGCCGCUUCUUUGAUAUAAAAAGAAUCUUUUUCAAUGCCAAUAAAAUACCUGUUCAUGGAUUUAGCCACAGCCCCUGUUGUGCCUGUGCCAAAAAAGGGAUCUAAAAUAAUAUCUUUAGGUUUGGUCGCGCUUAAAAUGAUUUUCUUUAAAAGCGCUUCUGGUUUUUGCGUGGAAUGCACUUUUUUACCUUGCGCGUCUUUUAGUCUUUCGUUACCCAUGCAAAUAGGGAUUUGCCAAACCGAUUUUUCUUGUUUGUCGUUAUUGAGAUACUUCAUUGUUUUAUAAUUAAAGGUAACUUUGCUGUUUUUGUGUUUAGCGCACCAAAUAAGCGUUUCAUGGGCGUUGCAUAGUCUCUUGCCAGCAAAAUUAGGCACCGGAUUGCUCUUAUGCCAAAUAAUAUCGUUGAGUAUCCAAAACCCUAAAUUUUGCAAAUGAAAACCAAUUCUAAAAAUAUUUUGGAAACUCCCUAUCACACAAAUACUGCCAUUAUCUUUUAAAAUCCUUUGGCACUCUCUUAACCAACCCAAACAAAAGGUAUCGUAUUCUUCAAAAGAGCCAAAUUUAUCCCAAUGAUCCUCAACGCCUUGAAAUUUUGUGCCUUCAAAACGCUUCAAUUCCCCCUCUGUUUGCAUAAAAUAUGGGGGGUCAGCAAAGAUAAAAUCAACGCUUUUAUUAGGAAAAUCUUUUAAUUUUUCUAAACAAUCCCCCUCUAUGAUAGCGUUUAAGUUUUCUUUUAAAAAAUCCAUGAUUAACUAACCUUUUAUAUCUGCUACUCUAGCCAUUUUAACACAAGCGUUUUAAGGUUAUCUUAAUGUUUAAUCUUUAGCUUUGUUCUCAUCAAAUGCAUCAAAUGAUAGACGCUACCUAUCCCCACCUAUUUUAAACGAUACAACAAAAACGCGUAACUCCCCGAUCCAUUCACAUGCAAAUCGCAAAGCAUGUUCGUUACAAAAACAUUAGAAAUGGGACUUACUUUAGAGCCUCUAUCGCAAAUGAGAGCGAGAUUAGGUAAUACAGAAUAAAGGGAAAGCUGAUCCCCCGCCUCUGCGAUAGAUAUUGUUGUCGCUCGCUUCUUUGCUGAUGAAUGCGGCAUCAAAGUCAAAAUCUCCGAUGGCUUUGGCUUGGCGCGAUAAGAUAAGGGCGAUAUUGGUAUUAAAUGGGGGGGGGGUGGAUUUUGCAAGAUUUCUUGCAUUAAGGCUUCGCUGUCAUUCCCUUUUAAAUGGGGCAAAUCGCUCGUCAAAAAUCCAAGCGUUUUUUGGAUUUCAAUCGUGCGCGCGAUGACUUUAAUGAUAUUGCUUACAUGAUCAAAGUCGCAAGGCUCGUUUUUAUGGCUUUUUAAAUAUUUGUCUAAAACGCCAUACCCCCCUAUCAUGUAAUCAUGAAUUUCCUCACUCACCCCCCUAAAAUAAGCGCUAUGGUUGAUGUAAAGGCGUUGUUCUGGUUCGUUAUAAGAGGGUUUUUUGAUGAUGGGGCUACGAUCAUGCGCUUCUUUGUAGUAGGAUUCGCCUAUGGUGGGGUCUUUUAAUUUUUCAAAGCUGUGAUUCAAGCUUUCUUGGUUUAAGACAUGCAAGCCGAUCAAUUCAAUCCCUAAAAGGCUUAAAGCCCUAAACAAAUCCUUAUUGUUUGUGAAAAGGAUUUUAGGGUAAUCGGCUUUGAGAAAAUCUUCAUAACGCUUGCGGUAAUGUGGGGAAUACAAUAGCGCAUAGAUAUAGCCUAAAACCUCUAACGGCUCAAAAGGGUGGCUAUAAUGCUUGUCUAUAAAGCUUCUAAACUCUGGCGUAAAAUUUUCGGUGUAGUUGGGGUGUUUGAAUUGAUAAAGGGGGUAAUUAUAUCCUACCCCCAUUAGAUUUAUAUCAACUAAUUCUUUAUGCGCCAUCACAUAACGCCAUUCGCCAUGCAUUUUGCUUUGUCGUGGGGUGUUUAGCACGACAUUUUGGUGCGUUUGAUUGGGUGUUUUAGGGUUUGUUGGGGGGGGGGUAACAUGUGCUUGAAAACUUCGUCUCGUGGAUAAGCGAUAAAAGACUUUGAUUUACCGGUAUAAUAAGUGUAGUAAAAAUCAAAAGGGCGGUAUUGGCACGAAACAAUGUAUUCUUCUAAAUUGUUAGCGUUUGCCUUAACAUCUUUAAUAGCAUAUUCUAAACGCCAAUCCCUACCAUCUUUUUUAA
rnacentral:rRNA from 1 species